CCCAGACAACUCUCUAAGACUAUAAACUGCAGGAUACUAUUGGGAAAGUGCUGGAUAGUAUAUACUAUUCUACAGGGACCAUGUCUUUGAAGUUCAAUCAAAAGGAAGGAAGAAGUACAGUUGAGAGGAAAGGGAAAAAUGCUUGGCCCUACCACUGAGAGAGACCCAAUCCAAUGCUUCUUUUAAUGGAAGGGUAUGUCCCUUUCAGACUUUAGCAAAUCUGCUGGUCAUAAGCAGCCUUUGAAGACUUUGCUUCUUGAUGGUCAGAAUGGUGCAGGGGAAUGAGCUCACUAUUUCAAAUCAGGAGCAUGGGAUUUGACCCUUGACUUUGAUGCUUUGACCUCCAGCAAACUAUUUCACCUUUUGCCUCAGUUUGCUCACCUGUUUGUGUGUGUGUGUGUGUGUGUGUGUGUGAGAGAGAGAGAGAGACAAUACUUAUGCAACUUGUCUCACAGACUGUUGUGAAGAAAGUGCUUUAUAAAUUUUAAAGCACUAUCAAAAUAUGAGCUGUUUAUCUGUUUAUGAUCUGUUUAAACAUGUUUAUUUGACAGAAAUGAAAGCCAGAUAUGGCAUGUUCCUUUAGGGGGGAAGGGAAGGGAAUAAGCAUUUAUUAAGCCCCUGCUCUGCCAAAGUUACUAUGCUAAGCACCUUCUAAAUAUUAUCAUUUGAUCCUUACAACAACUCUACGAGAAGGUGCAAUUAUUACUCCUGUUUUAUUGCCGAGGAAACUGAGGCAGACAGAUUAAGUGGCUUGCCCAGGGUCACACAGUUAAGAGGUAUCUGAGGCUGGAUUUUAACUCAGAUCUUCCUGACUACAGUUCCAGUGGUCUAUCCAUUACACCACCUAGGUGCCUAAAUGUUUAGGUUUCUCCAUUGUCAUGACUAGGCAGGGAAGAUUAAAAAUACUGACUUUUAGGUAUAUUUUAUAAAUACUUUUGGGGAAAACAAUGAAGAUGAGCUUUCCUGAACUUGCAAACUAACUUAUGAGUGCAUAUUGGGAUUUCCUUUACAGAAGUCAGAGAAACAACAUUUCCCAUUUCAUAACCGAUGCUUAUAGGGAAAACAACAUCCAGGUAUAUUUAUGAAAAUUUAGUCUCAGGGAGAGAUCUACGUUGAAUUUGAAUAUGUAUACUAAAGCACUCUUUUUCUUUCGUGCUGCCUCUUCCUUAUCUCUUAAACACUAAUCUUUUAUGAAAGCAUAUAUUAAAUACCAUAGCUAUAUAUGAAAUACAUCAAUACAUGUAUACACAUGAAAAACAAUGCAUGCUUGAAAUGUAUGGACAUUUAUAUACAUAUGUGUAGUAUACAUGAUAUUUGCCUGUGUAUUAUCUAAGAUUACAUCUGGUCUUUGAACUCUUCUUUCAUGUACUGACUCUUCUGACUCGGUUCAACUCUCCUCUCACAUGGUCAGAAAUCCCUUUUAGUUCUUAUCACAACCCCUGGCUGGAGCAAGUAUCCCUAGUGAUUUUUUUUUUAAUCUUCCUCUUCCCUCCCCAAUUUCACCUUGCCCCCAAACCUGUCCCUCUCUUCUAUGCAAACUAUAAGAACUAGGCUGAUUGGAGAAGACUGAAAAGGCUGGUGACCUUUGUCACACUACCUCUCAGCAAAAAAUCACCUCUUAGUCACCUUCUGGUUUCUGCUGGUAUCUUCUGCCUGUUUCUUGAUAUGUAUACAGUAAAUGAUGAGGUAUAAAUGUAGUAGAAAGAGGGCUCUCUUCAGAGUUCCUUUUCUUGUAUCCACAUAUGGGGAGAUAGACAAUGAGAGAAGGCAGGUGGUGAUUUUGUACUGAGAAGAGAGGGACCAAUGUUACAAGCCUUUUCAGCCUUCUCUAGUCAGUACAACCUUUAUGAUUUGCAAAGAACAAAAGAAGGCUGUGAUUAAACAGCAAAGUUUUUU